rnacentral:rRNA from 1 species
UACGUAGGGAGCUAGCGUUGUUCGGAAUUACUGGGCGUAAAGCGCACGUAGGCGGCUUUUUAAGUCAGGGGUGAAAUCCCGGGGCUCAACCCCGGAACUGCCCUUGAAACUGGAGAGCUAGAAUCUUGGAGAGGCGAGUGGAAUUCCGAGUGUAGAGGUGAAAUUCGUAGAUAUUCGGAAGAACACCAGUGGCGAAGGCGACUCGCUGGACAAGUAUUGACGCUGAGGUGCGAAAGCGUGGGGAGCAAACAGG